rnacentral:snoRNA from 1 species
UCCUCAGGUAGGAUAACCCUAGUCUGUUCCUCUCUUCAGAGGGCAGAUAGAACGUGAUGGCUAACAGCUCGCCUGAUUGGGGCUCACUCACCCUAAUCGCUCCUAUCUGGU